rnacentral:rRNA from 1 species
UACAGAGGUCCCAAGCGUUGUUCGGAUUCACUGGGCGUAAAGGGUGCGUAGGCGGUCGGGUAAGUCUGACGUGAAAUCUUCAAGCUCAACUUGGAAACUGCGUCUGAUACUAUUCGGCUAGAGGAUUGGAGGGGGGACUGGAAUACUUGGUGUAGCAGUGAAAUGCGUAGAUAUCAAGUGGAACACCAGUGGCGAAGGCGAGUCCCUGGACAAUACCUGACACUGAGGCACGAAAGCUAGGGGAGCAAACAGG